CUGCCGCAUGCUCCCCAGAUCCGCCGCUCUAUCGGUGCAUCAGGUCUUGCCGCCAGUUCCAAUGGAGGGAAUAAAUGGGCAAAGGCGGCCAACGGGGAAGCUGCGAUGACGGUGGUGGCUGUGGAGUCAGAUGAGCCUAGGACAGAAUCGUCGUUGGAGCGGGGAACAAUCAUCUACAACCUCCUCGUCACGCUCCCCUUUCCCUCCGGUCUGAUAUCGCGCCUCCGUCGUGCAUUCCUCCUCUACCGCUUCACCAACGACCUGGUCUCUAGAUCCUCCCUCCACAUGCUCCAACUCCUGGUUUUGCUCCACGUAUCUGCCUCCCAAAACGCUACCGCCCACAAUGAUGUUCAUGUUAUGCGCACGGAUAUUAAAGAACAGAAACAGAGAUCCCCACGUCCAGAGUUACAAGAUCAAGCUUGGUUGUGGCUGCUGCUGUGUUGCCUCCUCUUGUUGGACCGAAGAGAGGGAGGGGAGAAGCAGCUGGCGUGCAGACUUCUACUCAGGUGGCCUUUUAUUCUCUAUGGGGCUUCUAGGAUACAUCUUCUCCAGAAGCACCAUAAGUCUUGUCUUGGGCAUUACACCAGGGCUAGCCACUCUGCUACUUGGCACUCUCAGUCUGAAGUUCUGGAGGAGCGACAGAUCCAGCUUCCUGCUUAUCUUGUCUCAGGCAGAUUUUCAAAAUUUAGUAAUCAUGUAGAUUUUGCAAGCAAAUUUGAUGGUACCAGUGAUCAUGAUGGUACUGCAGAAGAAGUCCAAGGUGAUACAUUGUAG
rnacentral:misc_RNA from 1 species